UGGGGGAUGGAAUAGCCUGCUGCUUGCUGCUCGUCUUAAUCAGCACAUUUAGAAGACAAAAGGCGCUGGCGGAGAGGUGAGAACGGUUUUAAGGUGGGCCAGAUCUACGAGUUUUUUCGUAGACUCUAGUAAUUCUAGUGUUA